rnacentral:rRNA from 1 species
AUGACUACACCGAAUUACCACCCCAUGCCGCCCAAAGUAGCUCCCAGGUCGGUGAAGCCGACGGAGCCGUCAUCUUCAAAGCCUGCAUCGGCGAAUUCUGAGAUGAAAGAGAAGGGCACGUCAGAGAAGCCGACGAAAGAGAAGGGCACGUUGGAGAAGCCGGUGAAUCAAAAGAUGAAAGCGAACGGCAAUGGAGUUGGUCGCCAUCGAGAGAAUCCUCCGGGAACUCAGGUUGCUUCAUUGCUGCAAUACGAGAAGUUCAUAAAAGAUUUAAACGCACAGCAACUGAUGUACAUCAAGUUGAUUGGACUGGGUGAACUUCUCAAGACUCCUGGCAUGAGAAUGAGACGUCUACUGUGCCAGGCCAUCGCUUAUUCAUAUGAUGCAGAGCAGGAUGCCUUUAUAAUUAAUGGGAGACCAUGUAGGAUCACACUAAAAGAUGUGGAGCAUAUAAUAGGCCUACCCUGCAUGGGGAAGAAUCACGUCUCUUCAAAUCACAAUGAUACUUUGGAGUUGUGGAAGGAACUGAAAGACCCCGAUGACACAAAAGUAACUUUGAAAGGAUUGCUAGCCAAGAUGAAAGGCAACAGCACACCUAAUUUUGUCAGGCCAUUUGUCAUGUACACCAUAGGCAAAUAUGUAUGCCCGACAACACAGCAGUAUGUGGACAACAGAUACCUUGGGAUUGUUAGAAACGUUGAGAAAAUAAAGAGCACCAAUUUUGGACAGCUUACACUUGACCAUCUUAUGACUAGUGUCAGGAAAUUUGUAAAUGGUGGAGCAAAUCUGGAGGGCGACCUACCAUUGCUACAAACGUGGUACUACGAGAAGUGGAGGGUGCACCAAUUGGACUCUACCAUCUCGUAUGCAUCAAGGUUAAGGCCGCUGAUCCAAAACUGGAGUGACGAGAAGGCACAGAAGGUUGACAACAUAAUCAACAAAAAUUAUAUAGGGGUUGGAGAGUAUGUCGAUGACCUGCUGCGGCCUUUCAAUCCGUCACCAGUUGGGACGCCGGUCAAACCAAAGACUGACGGUCAGGAUAAGGCACUCAUGGGCCGUGUAUUGGCUAAUUUGAAAGAAGUUGCCUCCAUUGUGCGGGAAGCCAGUGCACAACAAUUUGAUAGGAUGAUCACCCUUGAAAAAAAAUGGGCGAGUGUCUUAUGCGUACACUUGCGAAUGGCAGACGCAUGGACGACCUCAUCACAGAAUUCAAUGAUGAAGAAGACAGAGCUGCUGCUGCAGCUUGCAAGGAGUGUCUCAAGAAUGUUUCACAACUUUAUAAAGAGUUGGAUGCUUCGCAUGGAUCCUCUGAAUUUGAGGCACAAUGAGAAUGUGCGAAAGGCUGAAGAAAGAAGAGAUCAAGAUGAUGAAGAUGUCAGUAUUGAGGUGGGGGGAGAGGCAGGUACCAAAAGAAAACACCGGUCUGCCAAGGCUAAGGCAAUAAGGGAGCCGGAAGAGACACAUGUCUUCCCAAUUGAUGAGGACAACUAUGAUGAUUCUUUAGCAAAGCAGCGACAAGAUAGCGCGGUUGAUUCCAUGCUACCAACUCACACAAGUGCUUCGAGGCUGGAGACCGACCUUGACAAGUUUCGACAGAAUCACGUGGCCGAAAUUGUCAACACCUCAGAUCUUGAUAAACAAUUGGUGGUAAUUGAUGACAUUGUUCUGCUACAUAAGCAUUUGCAAUGCCUCACCAUGACAGAUGGAGUUUUAGAUGACAAAUGGUUGGGUGACGAAAUCAUGCGUCGUGAUCAUCCUGAGGACAUAAGGGACGGGCAACUGGUUUACAUUGAGAGGGUGGCCGGCGUCGCUAUGCUCGAAAGAGAUGGUAAGGUAGAGAACUGCCACGAGGCCGCUUUGGCGGGAAGACAUGGAACAACAAAAGGAGACAACUACCUCGAACAUGAUCUGGUUUUUCUACCUACGAACAUGGCGAACACCCACUGGUUCCUUGUGGUCGUAAACCCCAGAAGGAGGGAGAUUCAGAUUCUUGAUUCACUUUUCAGCUACGUAGUAACACAAGUGGUUCACGUGGCAUACAUUGACAAUUAUAGAAGAGAGCUGCCUGUUGCCCUUCUUACUUCGCCCUACAACAAAUUGAAGUCCAUGAAAAGGCUGAAGACGUACAUUGCUAGCCUAUCGGAUGCAGCUGCAAUUGAAGAUCAUGAAGAUGCAAGCAGUUAG